AAAGAAUUAAUUUAAAAAAAAUAAUAGUUUGUCAAGCUAAAAAUAUUAAUUUAAAAAUUAAUAUUCUUUU
rnacentral:tRNA from 1 species